rnacentral:tRNA from 1 species
GGGGAUGUGGCGCAAGCGGUAGCGCGCUCGCCUAGCAUGCGUGCGGCCUGGGUUCGAUCCUCAGCACCA